GCUUCCCGUGGACCCUGAUGUGGUGAUGUUAGGAGACCCUCAGCUGCUGCGGUUCCUGGCUGAGUGAGGCCAGGCCCUCAGGCUCCAGCAUGGCCCUGCAAGACCACUGCUGCCCCCCUGCGGCCGUGCAGAGGAUCCUGCCCUGCCCUGGCUGUUGGACUCUGAAGAUGGACUUCAUCACUGGACUUUCAGUGGGGCUCAAGGUCAUUCCCCACGCGCUGGCCUGUGCUGAGGUGACCUGACUCCUGCCCCAGGUGGUACCUGUGGCCCCACUUGGGUGCAGGUAGAAAAGAGGUCCCCUCAUCACAGCAGGUCACACUCAUGGAUGAUCGAGGUGUGGCUUCUACUCUGCCUUCAUGGGUGCUUCGUGUAGUUCUUCCUGGUCACCUUCUGGCAUGUUACCCUGAGCCCACCUGUGCUGUGCUGCUG
rnacentral:lncRNA from 1 species